CGGUGUCGCUCGAGAGAGGCGCUGGCGGCAGGUGGCGCUCUCGUGACGCGGCCGCCUGAGCGUCUGAAAAGCCGCGUCCUUCCCCGGAGCCGGGUUCCUCCCUUCCCGCCUCACGCAGGGCCCCUCCGGGCCCGCGCACCCGCCGGCCCCACACUGGAGGCCGCGGCCGGGGGCGUUCGCCGUUCUGUCCCGGAGGCCGCGUUAACUCUUGGAGCGGCUGAGGAGAGCUCCGUCCUUCGGCUCGUGUGUCCUGUGGAGCGCUGCCGCCGUAUCCCAGCAACUGCAAAUGUCUAAACUUACUCACUUUGCUUCAUAAUGGAAUCAUCUGGAGGUGAAUUAAAUCUUUCUCUGAAGUCUGUUGCAAUCCUAAGAUAGAACUGUCUUUGAUUACAAAGGGACCAGCCUUCAAAAGCUUGCAGAAUAUUUGUCAUUUUCUUUCCAUGGUGAUCCAUAUACUUGAUGAUGACGUUAGUUCUUGGAGUCUUUUCAUAAACAAAACAUUGAGUUCUGCAAGUCUCCUGUAAUGGUGAGGUUCUUUCUUGGUAGCGUAAAGACCCAUCGACAUGGGACGGCGUCACCUGUCCUUGGCUGAACAGAAUGGCACACACCAGCACCCUGACGUAACUGCGGCUAAUUAAUCUGUUUGUGCUGGUUGGGAAAGAAGAAAUCUUCCGUUAUUGUCUCCAUGCAUCAAUACUUCGAAUGCUCACGUAAUAAAAUGUUACCUUUUUAACACUUCCAAACGCGGAAAAAGUAUUUGGAAAGACUUUGUAAUUCAAAUGCAGUCAUGUGGUGGUAUCCCUUCGGAUUUGCAAUAUUAUAGUAGGAAUAAAAGUGUUUUUUUUGACAGAGAUCAUUAUCUGUGUUCCUAGAUUUUAAUAACAGGCACAGCAAACUGGUAAUUAUGAUUUGUAACAUAAAAUCGUACUUAAAGAAUAAAGUCAAACCAAAUUUGUUCUGAAUUCUGUAAGGUAGAAGCAUGUAAGGAAAUGUAUUGUAGCAUGCUUAACGUAUGUAUUCCAUCACUUUACCUAAUUAUAGAUUCUUUGUUCUAUGAAAAUAAGUGCAAACAGCAUUAAACUUUUGUGGGUCUCAGUUCUUAACAUAUUAGCAGCAUUCAAUAUUUGGGAAGAUUUAAGAGUAUAAUACCUCUUUUUAUUUUGUUUUCUUUUAAGUUACAUUAGUAUAUUCAGAAUAUGUUUAACCAAGCCCUAUAUAAAAUUGCAUUUGUGGAACAUAAGAUACCAGACUGUUUCCAUUUAGCAGGAAGUAGGUCUUCCCUACCACCCAAACGAAAAGAAGUUCUGUGGUCCAUUCAUAAUUGCCUAUUUCUUCCUUAUAGCCUAUGAGGCCAGAGCAAAGAACAGAGUUGCUGCUCCAGCAGAUGCUAACAGUUCUUUAUGGUGUGUGUUUCUUUUACUUCGAGGAUGUUAUUUUUAAACUGGUUUGUGAAGCUCUAAGGUGAAGUCUUGUUGUGCUAAUCAAGUAUUAUAUACUAAGUCGAUUUUUAGUAAAUUUUUUUUCUAAAAUAAUCUGCUUUACCUCUUAUCUAAUUUUGGAUUUAUUUUCAGAAAGAAAUCCAAAGUUCUCUUACUAAUUUGAAUGAUUGUGUGAGAUUUAUCACCAUCUUUGACAAUCCUAUUGUGUAGGUUUUUCACUUUCUAACCUGUUGCAAUAGGGAAGCAAUACUUACAAAUGGAAAGUUAACUAUUGUUUGGGGUAGAAUUGUCCAAGAUGUUCAUCUUAGUGCUUGCUGGGAAUAUAUGGAAUUACAGGACACGUAAGUACUCUGAUACUGUCUCUAUAGCCCAAAGGGUUUUGCUCCUUUGCUGUUAUUUUUGCUUCAGCCUAAAUCUGAACCUGCUGGGUAUGUCUGAUAGAGUCAAACGCUUUCGGUUUUAGAGGAAUGGAGCAAUAUGAAGUCUUCAGAAUGUUAAGCAGGUACAUCUUCAACAGAUAAAUGGUUUACAAGUUGGGUUUGUUUAUAACUGACUUCAUCAUUUCUUCCUUUCUCAGUCUAGAUGUUUGGCUUAUAUUUUCAUUUUAUGAUUAAAUUAUCUGUUUCAUUUUA